AACGAACGCUGGCGGCAUGCCUAACACAUGCAAGUCGAACGAGACCUUCGGGUCUAGUGGCGCACGGGUGCGUAACGCGUGGGAACCUGCCCUUAGGUUCGGAAUAACUCCCCGAAAGGGGUGCUAAUACCGGAUAAUGUCUUCGGACCAAAGAUUUAUCGCCUUUGGAUGGGCCCGCGUUGGAUUAGCUAGUUGGUAGGGUAAAAGCCUACCACGGCGACGAUCCAUAGCUGGUCUGAGAGGAUGAUCAGCCACACUGGGACUGAGACACGGCCCAGAAUCCUACGGGAGGCAGCAGUGGGGAAUAUUGGACAAUGGGCGAAAGGCUGAACCAGCAAUGCCGCGUGAGUGAUGAAGGCCGUAGGGUUGUAAAGCUCUUUUACCCGGGAUGAUAAUGACAGUACCGGGAGAAUAAGCUCCGGCUAACUCCGUG
rnacentral:rRNA from 1 species